UACGGGGCGCACGAGGCGCCAAAACUUUACAAUGCUGGCAACAGCGAUAAGGGAACCUCGAGUGCCAGGUUACAAAUCUGGCUGUCGAGAUGCCUAAAAAGCAUUUCAUAGCAAGGGCCGGGCAAGACCGGUGCCAGCCGCCGCGGUAACACCGGCGGCUNNAGUGGUAACCGUUAUUAUUGGGUCUAAAGGGUCUGUAGCCGGCCGGAUAAGUCUCUUGAGAAAUCUGGCAGCUUAACUGUCAGGCUUUCAGGAGAUACUGUCUGGCUCGAGGCCGGGAGAGGUGAGAGGUACUUCAGGGGUAGGGGUGAAAUCUUGUAAUCCUUGAAGGACCACCAGUGGCGAAGGSGUCUCACCAGAACGGACCUGACGGCAAGGGACGAAAGCUAGGGGCACGAACCGGAUUAGAUACCCGGGUAGUCCUAGCCGUAAACGAUACUCGCUAGGUGUCGGCCACGGUGCGACCGUUGUCGGUGCCGUAGGGAAGCCGUGAAGCGAGCCACCUGGGAAGUACGGCCGCAAGCGUGAAACUUAAAGGAAUUGGCGGGGGAGCACCACAACGGGUGGAGCUUGCGGUUUAAUUGGAUUCAACGCCGGAAAUCUUACCGGGACCGACAGCAAUAUGAAGGCCAGGCUGAAGACUUUGCCGGAUUAGCUGAGAGGUGGUGCAUGGCCGUCGUCAGUUCGUACUGUGAAGCAUCCUGUUAAGUCAGGCAACGAGCGAGACCCACGCCCACAGUUGCCAGCGUACUCUCUGGAGUGACGGGUACACUGUGGGGACCGCCGCUGCUAAAGCGGAGGAAGGAAUGGGCAACGGUAGGUCAGUAUGCCCCGAAUAUCCCGGGCUACACGCGAGCUACAAUGGUUGGUACAAUGGGUAUCUAGCCCGAAAGGGGACGGGAAUCUCCUAAAACCAAUCUUAGUUCGGAUUGAGGGCUGCAACUCGCCCUCAUGAAGCUGGAAUCCGUAGUAAUCGCGUUUCAACAGAACGCGGUGAAUACGUCCCUGCUCCUUGCACACACCG
rnacentral:rRNA from 1 species